CAGCUGAGAGCAGCAAACUGCAGUCUGGGAAUAACAUUCCUGCUUCCACAGGAGCUAAAGGCUGGGGGACCCUAAGCUCUGGUCUUCUGCUGCUGUUCCUUCCUCCUUUGCCUCCUGGCUGCACCCUGCCAGCAGCCCAGCAGCCAAAGAUCUUCACCCUUGCUAUGGAUGAUGUCUGGUUCAGUCAAUGAUGUGCCUUGCAUGAACUUUGAAGCCAACGUAUUUGCAAAGAGCCUGUGCCAGCACUGUUUCCGAGCUGCAGGGGCUCACCAGCACGCUGUCCAGGAGCAUGGUGUGGAAGUGGCAGGACACGAUGCCAGCAGCAACGCGGACCCAGGCGGGCCCUGGGACGCUCUCCAUAUCUUAGCCCCGCAGUGCGAGGUAUAUGUGUGCGUGAGCCCCGUGGAGGGGACGGAGGGCUGGCACGAGAGCUGGGGAUAUCCCCCGCUCAGCCCCGGAGCUGAGGGCGAGCACAGAGAAACCAGCACUGACCCCAGCGCCUGCACCCAAGCCAACUCCUCGCUUGCCAGGGACGGGGAAAUGACCUGGUUGUGGGACAACACUAUGGGAUCAGGCAAACGGGACAUGAUGAGCUACGUGGGCCAUAAGGAGGAGGUGCGAUCGCGAGCCCUGCAGGCAGACAGACCCAGGUGGGCUCAGCCCAUUCCCUCCGGAUCCUGGGUGAGAAUCGAGGCGCAGGACUUUAGGAAAGAAAUCUGCCCUCUGAAAGCAGAGUGCCGUCCCACCAGCCAGAAGCCCGAGGAGAGCUGGCUGAAGCACCGGAAAGCCGACCCUCCGUGGCCAUCCACCCCUCCACGUGCUACCACCGGCUCCUCCCGCGGUGACCCGUUGGGUGGCAGCGGGCACCUUGCUGGCUCCCAGGUGCGGGAGCCCUGCAGGCAGCCCGGUGGCAGGGGCACGGAGGGGCGGCACGGGCUGGACAGGCAGGAGUACACGGUGCUGGCCAACCUGCCCAAGCGCCUCAGCCAGCGGGAUGCUGUCGACCGCUGUGGCUCCCACAUGCUCAGCCCCGGCCGGGUGGAGGUGGAGAGGAUGUUUGGCUGCGAACGCAGGAAAUCAGAGACCCUGGAGGCUUUCCAGGCCCUGGAGGAGGGCCGUGUGGACCGGCUCGAUGGCAAGACCCCUGUGCCACCCAGCAAAGGCCGCCUAGCCCGGAGGCAGUCCAGCCCCAGCCUGCCCAGGGAGGGUCAGCGGCCUUCAUGGCACCUUGAGCAGCGCAGCAGAGACCCCAAGGAGCCCCUGCGCUCCCCCAGCCCAGCUCGGCACCCUGAGAAGGCCAGCAGGAGCCGGGGGGACCGCCCGCACCCUGCCAGCGCCAGCUGGCUGUCGGACAGAGGCAACCGGAGCCCACGCUCCACGAGCCCAGCGCGACGGUCCGUGAGUCCCACAAGCGCUCCACAAGCCCGGCUCCGAGCGCCUGUGAGCCCUCCCUGGUGCUCAGAGAAGAGCUGGAGGAGCCGAGAGGAGCCUGUACAUGCCUCCAGCUCGGAAAGGGGCCGAGCUGCCUGGCUUGGGAGGAGUACAGGGCAAGCACCAGAGAGGAAGAGCCGAGGGGACGCGCUGCACCCCGUGGGCCUUGGGAAAGGCUUGGAUAACAGCAGGCUGAGCCGGGCAGCGCCACCACCGCGGUCCCUCAGUCCCGGGAGACAUACAGAGAGCACAUGGAGAAGCCAAAAGAUCGCCCCUCCGGUGCGGGUAGCGGAGAGGCAACGGGGGAGGUCAGGGGAACUGGUGCAGCUCCGGGCUCCUGGGAAGCCAUCAGAAUGUGGCUGGCAGAGCCUCCGGGAAAGGCUGCCAGCCCCCCACCCUGGGAAGGGCACUGGCAGUGACUCGAAAGGCCAAGGCAAGCCCUUGCGCCCUGUGAGCCCAACACGAGCACUGGAGCAGGACCGGAGGGGUCGGGGGGAUGCCCACCAAACGCAGGCGUGGCAGAAGGACUGGAAGCGCCAAGAGAAGCCUGUGUGCCAUGCGGACUUGAUGCGCCAGCUGGAAAGGGACUGGAAAAGCCCCACUAAAUGUCCCGAUGUGAGACUACGGCCGGAUGACAGCUGGAAAAGGCCUGAAAGCCCAGCACAGCAGCUGGAGGAUGCCUGGAAAGGUCCUGAGCACACCCAAAACACAAACAACCCAGAGAAGCCAUUGGAAAACGACUGGGGGAACAAGAGGCUUCUCAUUUACCAUCCCCAGCUGUGUGGAGGUGCCUUCCCACCACAAAGCAGCACCAGAUCCUCGGGAAGCCUGCAGCCACGUUCAAAUGACAGUGAGAAGCACAAUAAGCCGGAUCUCCUCAAUUUCAAGAAGGGAUGGAUGUCCAUCCUGGACGAGCCAGGAGAGUGGAAGAAACAUUGGUUCGUGCUGACUGACUCGAGCCUGAGGUAUUACCGGGACUCGAACGCGGAGGAGGCUGAUGACCUCGAUGGAGAAAUCGACCUCCGCUCCUGCACAGACGUGACAGAGUUUGCGGUGCAGCGCAACUAUGGCUUCCAGAUACACACAAAGGAUGCCGUCUUCACCCUAUCGGCCAUGACCUCAGGCAUCCGGCGCAACUGGAUCGAGGCCCUGAGGAAGAACGUGCGCCCAGUCAGUGCUCCAGAUGUCACCAAGCUCUCUGACUGCGAUAAGGAAAACUUCCGUAACUGCGUCCCCCAGAAGGGCUCGCUCCAGAUGGAGGAACAGCAGCGACUGGGCUCUAGCUCCGAGGGGAACUCAAAGGGCAGCCCCUGGAAGGCGGAUGGGCAGCGCCAUGCCUUUGACUAUGUGGAGCUGUCCCCCUUGCCGCAGGACCCCGGGAAUCAGGGCUCCCCACAGAGGACGAGAGGGAGCUUGAGGGUCUCUGACCGAGCUCCGAAGCACGAGGAGCUGGAGCGGGAUCUGGCUGUCCGUUCGGAGGAGAGGCGGAAAUGGUUUGAGGCCCCUGAUGUCAGGAUCCCAAACAGCGAUGGGUCAGGGGGAGACUCUUCCUGCAAGGUGGGGGAGCUGGACCUCCCCACUCCCCCACUUUCGGAGGACCAGCGAAUCCGGCUGAACGAGGAGAUAGAGAAGAAGUGGCUGGAGCUGGAACGCCUGCCCUUGAAGGACUCACGGCGGGUGCCCUUGACAGCACUGCUGAACCAGGGCAAGGGGAGCCAUGGAGACACCAACGAGGCACUGAAAAAGGAGAUCCAGUCACUGCGAGCGCAGCUGGAAUCCUGCCGGGCCCGGAAUGAGAGCCUUCGGGAGGCAGCGAAAUCCCAGGGAGAAGGCCAUGUGCCCCGGGGGUACAUCUCACAGGAGGCCUGUGAGCGCAGCCUGGCUGCAAUGGAGUCAUCCCACCAGCAAGUGAUGGAGGAGCUCCAGCGGCACCACCAGCGGGAGCUGGAGCGGCUGCGGCAGGAGAAGGAGCGGCUGCUGGCAGAGGAGGCAGCAGCAACAGCAGCAGCCAUUGAGGCACUGAAGAAAGCCCACCGGGAGGAGAUGAACAAGGAGCUGUGCAGGACGCGAAGCUUCCAGCAGUGCAGCUCCGUCUCAGAUGCCCUCCAGAAGCAGCACCAGUUGGAUGUGGAAUCCCUGAAGCGGGAGCUGCAGGUGCUCUCUGAGCAGUAUUCCCAAAAGUGCCUGGAAAUCGGGGAGCUCACGCAGAAGGCAGAGGAACGGGAGCAGACGCUGCAGCACUGUCAGCAGGAGGGGAAGGCGCUCCUCCGGAAAAACCAGGAGCUGCAGACCCGGCUCUCAGAUGAGAUCGGGAAGCUGCGAAGCUUCAUUUCCUCGCGGAACUCUGGGGACCGCUCUCCGAACAACAACGAGCGGAGCUCCUGCGAGCUGGAGGUGCUGCUGCGGGUGAAGGAGAAUGAGCUCCAGUACCUAAAGAAGGAGGUGCAGUGCCUCCGGGAGGAGCUGCAGAUGAUGCAAAAGGAUAAGCGAUUUGCCUCAGGGAAAUACCAAGACGUCUAUGCAGAGCUGAAUCACAUCAAGGUGCGCUCAGAGCGAGAGAUCGAGCAGCUGAAGGAGCACUUGCGCCUGGCCAUGGCGGCUCUGCAGGAGAAGGAGUCGCUGCGCAACAGUGUCGGCGAGUAACGGCAUCUCUGCUGCAUGAAUGAAGGGAUGAAGGGAAACAGGGUGACAGAAUGAGGACAUCCUGUUGUCCACAGUGCUUCUUGCUCCAGUGCUGUGGCUAUCAGGAUUUGGGUCACCCAGCUCUGUUUGCUGGUCUGCUCUUCAUUUGUUUAUCUGUUCUUGUUUUGUAUUUGCUCCAUUCCUCACUUGCAGGGAGGGGGAGGUUGAAUCCCAUCCGUUAUCACUUUGGCGAGGAAUCCUACACACCCCCAACCUCCUCACUCCCCUCCCAAAGCUUUUGUGAUGAACCCCUUUUGCCUGCGUACCUGAGCACGUUGUUUGGACUGGCUCCUUACAUGCACCUUCUUCAGGAUUUUAUAUGUGAAAGUUAUAUUUUAUAGAGGAUUUUUCCUCCCGGGAAGAAGGGGAAGAGGAGGGGGGAAAACUUUUACUACAUCACCAGCAUUUUCUAACCUGAAAAAGAGAAUCUGGUUGUCACCCCUUCCCCAGCCCUACACAGCCACCUUUGGCACAUGCUCCCUCUCUUCCGAAUGUCUCCACGGCCCCCAGGGGAUGCAUGGCGAGGACCACACUCCCCCCCUGUGCCACCCCAGGGACCUUUGGAGAAGACCUGCAAGCCAUAGGAGGGAGCCUCUGGGGCAGUCUGCCGUGGAUGUGCUUGCCGGGGACGUUGGAAAGAGGAGACCUUGGCAAGAGUCCGAAUGAUCGAGCUCUCUCCGUGACUGUCACUGGCUCCUUCGAGGACACAAGCUGGCUGGAGCCCGGAGACACGGGGCUUCUCCUCUGUGGGGAAGAGGAGCUGUGAGGCUGGUACUGCACCCACCAGAGCCAACCCCCCGUCAAGGUGGCAGUUGCUGCUGCUCUGCUGCGCCCUUCAACUUUUAACUUAAUAAAAUCUUCCCCUUUCGCUGAGAAGAA